rnacentral:lncRNA from 1 species
AUUGCAGACCCGGAGGCCGUGGCUGUGGUUCGCGGCGGUGCUGUCGCGGGCGCCCUGGCGCAGCCCACGCAGGGGCUCCUGAGGGUGCGUGCCCGCCGCCGCCGCUCCCCGCAGCCUCCAGGCAGCUCCCGCUGUUCCCCGAGGGCACCAGCACUGGCCGACCGACCUGGCUUGGGGCGCGGCGCUGGCAAACCCGGCCUUCUGAGGGGACGCCACGCUGACUCUAGUGCAGGCAGCCCCCAAAACGGUAUAAUUGGACGAAUUUCUUGAAGGAUGCCAGUUACCAAAAAAGAAAAUACUAAUGCUUAUUAUCUGUUAAAUUUGAGAUCAAUUUGUUAUCAAAUUUUCUCACACAGAAAAUUCCAGGCCCAGAGGGCCAAGCUGGUGAAUCCUACUUAGAGAAGAAAUAAUAGGAAUCCAGCCACUCAGACGAUGGACGAGGAGGGGCACUUCCCUGCUCGAUGUAUGGGCCAGCAUUGCCUUGAUAGCAAAGUCAGACAUCACCAGACAGUAGAACCACAGACCAAUGUCUUUCAUGAACCAAGACACAGCAUUUAAAAAAAUUAGCAAAUGGAAUUUAUAUCUGCCUAUUGUUUACAAAAAAAGCCAAACUUUGUAAAAUACUUGAAGAGAUUUAUUCUGAGCCAAAUAUGACCCAUGACACAGCCUCAGGACGUCCUGAGAACUUGGCCCAAGGCGGUUGUUUUACUGCUUGGUUUUAUUCAUUUCAGGGAGACAUAAGACAUCAGUCAGUACAUGUGAGGUGUGCAUUGGAUUGAUCCAGAAAGUCAGGACGACUCCAAGUGGAAAGGCCUCCAGAGACAGGAGACAGUAAAAGAAAUGGCCUCUCUCCUCUGUCAGAGUGGAGUCCCGAGCUCCCAGAAAUGCCACAUGAUGGACAAACGCUUGGGGGAAAAAAAAAAAAAAGGAGACCUCAGUCGGACACAAAAGCAGGAGCUUUAAAAGAAAAAAUAAGAGAUAAGUUGAACUUCACCAAAAAAUAAGCGUUUCUGGUCUUUGAAAGACACUUAAAAUGAAAAGGCAAGCCAUCGAUGGGGAAAAUACUCAGAAUAAUGGAUCUGACAGAGGGCUGUAUCUAGAAUAUAUGAAGAUAUUUUAAAAUCCAGUAAUUUGACAUAAAGAUGGUAGCCAGCCUGACACACAAAGGAACCCGAAUGGCCAAUGGACAGGAAGGGAACCCGUAUGGCCGAUGGACAGAAAGGGAAGUGAACGUGAACAUCUCAUUGGGGAUGCCGUUAUCACCACUGGAAUAGUCAAAAACAUGGACACCAAGUAUUGGUGGGUGAGUGGAAUGGCGGGAACCCACAUACACGGUCGAUGGGAGCUGCACCCUUUGGAAAUCAUUUCACAGUUUGUGCUCCAUCCUGGCCAAACCCACAGCUGGAGUCUUUCCAAAAACAGUGACGGGAGUUUCCACCAGGGAGUGCCUCAAACCAUCCCGAGAUGGGGCUGGUUGGGAUUCCAGGGAGAGGCACUCGUUGCCAGGGUGAUCCGUCCAGAGCACUUCCUAGGGGAUCUGGCAUAAGGAGGGCUGCAGUGUAUCCUCAGGACAGAUAGGACAGAUAGUGUAUCUUUGGGACAGACGGCAAGAUGGGGAUUCCACCCAGGUCUGUCUGCAGCGAGUUGAUAUGAGAGUUUAAGGAAUUUGGACCAGGGCUGCUUUGUUUCAGGGUUUUGGGCAAUGACCUAAACACCUUUAUCAGUGCCUGGGAAUGCUCAAGGCCCAGCUUGAGUUCAGGCCUGCAGGGAAAACCUGCAACUGGCCGGGCUGCAGAGUGGUCAGGGCACGGAAAGCCAGAAGCUGGGGACACACCUGCUGUAUGAUCCAGCCGUUCGUCUUUACCUGGGAGAAAUGGCACCACCUGGCUGAACAUAACUUCUUACACUCCCAUGAGUCCUCCUGGACAGGUGCUGUGACCUCGUGCAGCCUUGGGGACCCUGACACUCCCACGGACAGGCCAAGGGGUUUGCCUGGGCCCUGUGGGCACAGAGCCCCUUGAGAUGGGUUUCCCUAUGCAGCCCCCCACCCCCCACCGGGGACCCAUGGCACUGCAGCCCUCACCCCCCCUCUAGGGACCCACAACACUGCAGCCCUCGCCCCCCUCCGGGGUCCCACAGCACUGCAGCCCUCGCCCCCCAUCGGGGACCCACAGCACUGCAGCCACGCCCAGGCCACCGCCUCCAAACACAGGGCCGCUGCUGUUUCUGUGAACAGAUACUUCUUGCAGAUGUCAAUGGUUAAUGGAUGGGGAGGUGACCGCCCAAGCAGAAGCCGACCCUCUUCAUGAAGGGGCCACAGGUCACCCCGAAGCAGAAAUCCAUAGAACAGCCAAGGCCACAGCGGAACCGAGCAGGCCACGCCUCUGCCUCUGGGCCGCUCAGGGCCAGGCCUCCCUGACCCCACUGGCUCUAUUGUGAGGACUCAGGGUGGAGCUCUGCUGGGCUCAGUGGCCUUCACAGCCGGGGUCCACAGACCCGGGUCCUACGGGCAGUACUGUGCUCACCUAGAGGCCACGGUCCAUGCCCUGUCUCCAGCAGGCCCAAGUCACUUGUCCAUGGCGAAGGCCCGGCCUUGCUUCAGGCCCCGGGCGCGCUCCCCCUGCUCCCCCUGCCCACCGUUUCUUCCCAGGUGACAGAGGCGGGAGAGCAGGCGAGCCACGUGCCGGGCGCCGCAGCAGGGGGCACUCCAGGCUGGCGCCCCUCUGCCUCUCCGUGGGCUCUGACCUUUCUUCUCCCUGCCUGGGCAGCCUCCUUCAGGUUGGGGAGUCUUUUGUUGACCCCUGGAUUAAAGUCCUAAUCAGGAAUGACCCGGAAGAGGUCUUAUGAGGCUUUCCUCAAGAGAAGAAAAUCUGUCCCUGAGUAUCAGGAAGUGGCCCCUUUCCCUGCACCGCAGUCUUCUGUGACCAGCGGCUCACACAGCGAAGGAGGGGCUGGCGGCCCCCACAGGCCACUGCCCCGAGGCCGCCACGAGAGGGCAGGAGAGCCCUUCCUGGGAGCUCUGUGCCACGGGGAAACGCAGCCCCGCCAAGCACAGCAUGGAUGUUUCCAGCAGGGAAUGAAGAGAGAGGCCCCAGCACAUGAGAGAAGAGCACACUGGGCGGCCCCUGUCGGAGCCUCUCCUGUCCCCAGCGACCCCUGAGAGCAGGCCCUGGGCCUCUGCGGCCCCUCCCGGAGCCACUCUUCAACUGCUGACCUGCUCCCAGCUCUUCUGUGCCCCGCCCAGCUCCCUGCAAAACCUCACCUGAGGGGAAGGAGGCCCUGUUUGGGCUCAGACGCAGCAGGUGCAGCUUGUGGUCCUGGGGCCACACCUGUUAGAGCCCAUCCUUCUACCCCUGCUGGGCCCUGAGUGUCGUCCGUCCCCACAGAACUCAGCAGGGUCAGGUCUGGGCACUCCAGGCCGCCAGCCCCCUGAGUGAGCCCUGGGCCGGAGGUAGUUGUGGGUCACAGGCACCCCAGCCAGAACACCCACAGUGGGUAGAUGUGUGGGGACCGGAUGUGGGUCCUCUCCUGAGAGACGUGCAGAUGGGGAGAGGCUGGGCAGUUCUCAGCACAGCUGGAGCAUCUACCUGUCACCACCUCGGAGCCUCCUGGCCCCGUGGGGGCGGCCCUGGGAGCAGGGUCGGCAGUGAAGAGCAGAGAAAGGCAGUUGGGGAUGUUGCCACUGUCCCCCGAGACCACCCUGCCAUGGAGACGAGGGAGCUGUCCCUUCGCGGAAGGGGGCUGGCCAGCAAGAAGGACAGAGAGUGGACUGGCCGAGGACCGCUGAGCUCAGGACCCAAGGAGGACUCUUCUAGGAGACGAGAGAGCGAACGCCAGGGACCCUGUGCAGGCCUGCUCCUCCGUUUGCAAGGUGAGUUACCAGGUUCACGUGUUUGGAGUUUCUGGACUCAUUGCGGAGUUCCACCCCUGCACGUUGCGGUUCCCCAGUAAUCAAAUCCUGGCUUUUGUGCCUGGAAGUGCACAGGGAGGGGACAACUUUGUGAGUCAGUGGCAGGGCAGGGAGUUCUGGUUCUCCAGAGCCAGAGGCCGUGCUCAGAAGGAUUUCUUAGCAGGAGCCUUGGGGCCCCCAGUCAACACUUCCCUACGGACAGCCUGGCCAGCUCUGUGCACGGAGCAGGCGCCCGAGGGUCCCAGGUCACCAAGUGACCAAGUCGUGAAGGCGCCCAGGGUUUCCUGGGGGUGCGCUGAUCCCAAGGAAGCCACGUGUGGUCAGCAUGGGGGAGGGGACCAGCGCCCCGGGGGGCCUGCAGCACAGCAGGGCCUGCCCUCCUGGGUGAGACUGGCCGGUGCCUGUGGGGAUCUGGGGGGCUACAGUCAGGGCUCUGUGCUCCCGAGGGCCACGCCAGCCCACCUGCCCUGGAACAGAACCCGAGGCUUCUGCCUAGGGGAGUACCUGGGCACCUGCCUCCUGUGCUGCCCUGGACACAUCCCAGCGGCUGCACAUAGGGGAGGCACAGCCUGGGCUCAGGGCCAGGGUCCACUCUGUGGGGAUACUAGACCCGGGGGUGACAAUGCCAGCUCAGAACUUCCCCCCACACCUGGGCUCCUCCAGCCUGGCCUUUCCUGGGGAAGGGAGGGCCUGUCCUUCCUCAGCACUGUGGGAGGGAGGCAAGGCCUGCGGUUGAAGCGUCCCCAACACGGGGCUCCAGGAGAGAAAGCACCACAUCUCAGGGAAUGAAAACAGAGACGGGGCCGCCCAGUGCACUCGGUGGCUCGGAAAUCAUUAAAGAAUGUUCUGAGCCCCCGAUUUUGGCUGUAAAAGGGACUGGCCGGCUUGUGACCGCUCCCCUGUCUGUGCCUUGAGACGGGAGUGUUCAGCGUUGGGGGCAGCUUUCCCUCCAAGAGGAGCUUCACAAACAUCCGCUCUCUGCGGGGCCGCCUCUCCGUGGCCUGGGGCCGCUGUCGGAGGAAGGCUCUCCAGCUGCCGUCAUCUGGGAAACGUGGGGGGCGAGCAGGGGUCAUGGAUGGGGCUCACUGGGGACUGUGAGAAUCUGUCCCGCAGGACUUUCUGGGAUGGAAACGCUGGCAGAGGUGAAGCCUGCGUCAUGUGCUUCACUGAACCCGGCUGCUUAUUUAUGUUCGGAGGGCUGGUUUCAAGGACUCCUCGUCUCCCUCUCCAGUGAUAGCGUCAGCGGAAAUGCAGACGGGGACGGGGCUGCUGGGUUUCCUCCCUGGAAUGAAGCACAGCCGGAGGUUUUGCUGAUUCACCAGCAGGCCCUGACCGCUGAGUUCAGGGUAACAAAUCCACAUGGAUCCUGAGCCCGCAUAGCUCCCUGGGCCUCAGCAUAAACAUCGUAAACCUCCGGGCCCUGGCAGUGUCUGUUUCAUCCCCUCCAGAGCAAGUGCAAGUGUGAGAUUUAGAGAUUCUAAGAGGGGAAGGGCCAGAGGUCUUGAAAACGACCUUCAUUCGUUCAUUCAUUCGAGAAGUUUGCGAGGGCCUCCGUGUCCUGCGUUUAGUGGGGCCUAGGACGCAGAUGUGAAGGGCGCUGCUCUCAGGAGCAGACAGAGGUGGGGAUGAAUCAGUACACGCCCACCUCGGGCCCACAGGGGAGGAUGCGCGGAGCUGUGGGUGUGGGGAGGAGACCCCUCUGCGUCAUGCUGACGGUGUCGGCAGAGUCGCCAGCUUCUGCAGGAGCGGUACCUGUGGGUUCUUCUGUGACUUGUUUAACCGCAUCUUUUGCCCAGUAGUUAGUCUUUUCCUGUUGGGACACCAUGUUGGUAGUUUGGAAAUGGUUUCUUCCAUCCAUUGCCUGCCUUUUAGCUUUGUCGAUGGUGUUCUGUUGUAAAUUUUGGUGCACGUUUAAUGUGAACAAUGGUUAUGAGACGAGUGCCAUGAGUUCCUGUGUGCCUGUCACCCAGCCCGGCCACAAGAGGUGCUGGGGGCAGUGUCCACACCCCCCUUUCUUAGGACGCCUGAGUCUCAGAUGUGACUUAUAGGGUAUUUCUUAUGGCAAGACGGUUAAAACAAACUUCAGCGUCUCGUCUGUCCUUCUAUGGCUGUGGCUUCUGAUGUUCUAAUGGCGUUCUCGUCAGCCGGGGCUGAGAACAAAAUAACAUAGACUGUGGGGCUUAAACAGCAGAAACUUACUUCCCACGGUUCUGGAGGUUGGGAGUCUUGGAUCACCGUGUAGCAUGGUCAGGUUCCUGGUGAGGGUGGGAUUCCUGGCUAACGUAACGAAGGCUCCCUCUCCUGAUACCGUGUCACUGGGGGUGAGGCUUCAACACAGGAAUUUUGGGGGGACACAUCAGCAUUCACUCCAUCACAGGUGGUUAGCCCUUUAAUCCGCGGGAAUUUUGUUUGGGGUUGUGUGAGAUACGGGUCUAACGUUUUCUUUUUCAAAUACGUAGCCAGUUGUCACAUCAUUUAUUGAAAAAGGAAUCUUUUCUCCACCGACUGACAUGAAAUGCUACCAUCAUCGUAAAUAAAAUUCCCGUAAAUACUUGCUGUCUCUGCUGUCUCAGUCCUGACUCACGGGCUGAGUUCUCUUUCUGCACAGUAGCACUGGCAUUAACUGUGACAGCUUUACAGCAGGCUCCCUCCCCGAGGCCGUUCAGAAGCAUUCCUCAGCGGGUCCUACACGUUUCCUCUCCCAUGUCAAGUUUAGAAGCAGUGUCAAGACCCACAGCAGUCCUGCGGGAGUUUUAAGGGAUGCACGGAGUUUAUGGGGACAGUUUGGAAAAUUGACAUUCAUGUGACUUAGAGUCCUACUACUUGAAAAUGGAUUCCAGCUCUCAACGAAUUUAGAGCUUUGGCAAAAUUUUUAAGAUUUCUUUGAUGUCCGAUGUGCUCAUUUCUUGGUUUGUUCUUGAGUAUUUUGUGGAUUUUUAUGAAAUCCACAAAGUUUUUGUUAUAAUGAAUGGGACACUUUCCCAUAAAAUGUUGUAAUUCUGUAUUGCUGUUUUAGUAAACACUGUUGAUUGAUGUAUAUUGAUGUUACACUUGGUCACUUGUAAUAGUUUGUCCGUUCAUUAUUUUGAACUUUUUAGGUAAACAGUCAUAUAAUUAUGCAAAUAAUUAUAGUUGUGUCUCUGCCUUUCUAAUAUUUAUACUUUGUGUAUAUUAUCAUGUUGGCCAGGACUCAAGCGUCUUUCUCUUGUUUCUGACUAAUGCGAAUGAUUCUAAUGCAGGGGUUUCCAAACUGGUGGCCGGGGGGCCAAAUCCAGCCAAUGGUCUCUUCUUGUAAAUAAAGUUUUAUUGGAACACAGUUACACACAUUUUUCUACAUAUUGUCUGAUGGCUACUGUCACGCCACAGCAAUGCUGUUAAAUAGUCCAGACAGAGGCGGUAUUGCCCGAAAAACCUAGAAUAUUCACCAUCUGAGCUUUUACGGGAAAAUUUGCUAAUAUCUGUUCUCAUGCAUUAAAUACAAUGUUUGUUACAGGUUAAGGAAGUUUCUGACUAUUUUUAGCUUUCUGAAUAUCUUGUGGUUGUGUGUGCUUUAAAAUUAGGACUAAAUAUUAAAUUUACCAGUUGCUUGUUAGGGGCCUAUCUUUUGAGAUGCCCAAAGUUUCCCUUUUUUAGUCUCUUCAUGUAGUGAGUUGUACUAACAGAUUCUCUAAUGUUGAACCGUCUUUGCUUUCCGGAGAUAGACUUUACUUGCUCCUGGUGGAUUGGAUUCUGUUUGUUAAUACUUUUAUUUUUGGGUAAUUACAUCCCUAUUAUAAAUAAUAUGUCAGCAUCAUUGUGUGUAGAUGUGUGUGUGUUAUUCUUGCCAUUAGUUUCUCAGGUUUUUGGUUAACUAUUGAUAUGGUUUGGAUCUGUGUCCCCACCCAAAUCCGAUGUUGAAUUGUAAUCCCCAGUGUUGGAGGUGUGGCCUGGUGGGAGGUGGUUGGAUCAUGGGAGUGAAUUUCUCAUGAAUGGUUUAGUACCUUCCUCUUGGUACUGUUCUCGCAAUAGUGAGUUCUCGCGAGAUCUGGUCGUUUAAAUGUGUGUGGCACCUCCCUGACCCUCCUGCUUUUGCUCUGGCCAUGUAAGACGCACCAGCUCCCCUUUCACCUUCUGCCACGAUUGAAGGUUUCCUGAGGCCGCCCCGAAGGUUCCCAUACAGCCUGCAGAACCAUGAGCCAAUUUAACCUCUUUUCCUU